rnacentral:lncRNA from 1 species
UCAUAAACAUUUUCCUUUUUCUUUGGUGGUGGGGGUUACAGUAAUAUAUCAUAAACAUUAGGAAGACUAUUUUGAUAAAAUUAGUUUCCAUGGGUUUUAAAAUUGCUAUCUGCUUGAACUGCAAUAUCUAAGAAAAUCACUAUUUGGGAAGCAAAAUUUAAAACUGUUUUUCAGGUUAGUAAACUAUGAUACCUUUUGCUGCAAGGCUCCGGAGGAUAGAUAACGAGGUCAG